CAGAAACUCUUCACGGACUACAGGGAACAACUCAUCCAUGUUCUAAAGGGGAUCACGGUCGGCACAGACAAGUUCCAAGUAACACCAUUAUCUCAGGAAGUGCUAAUUGUUUGGGGAGAGCAUGACCAGUUGUUGCUGGUAGAGAAGGCAUCUGUAAUUCAAAGAUCUUUGGACGGGAAAGCUAGAGUGGAGAUCAUAAGUAAG